rnacentral:rRNA from 1 species
CGGUUGGUCCUGCCGGACCCCACCGCUAUCGGGAUGGGACUAAGACAUGCUAGUCGUGCGUCUCCAAGCCAUGGUGGAGACGCGGCGCACAGCUCAGUAACACGUGGCUAACCUGCCCUUGGGACAGGGACAACCCCGGGAAACUGGGGCUAAUCCCUGAUAGGUGAGGGUUCCUGGAAUGGACCCUCGCCGAAAGGGCGCCUAGACCAUGCUUCUAGGCGCCGCCCAAGGAUGGAGCCGCGGCCGAUCAGGUUGUUGGUGAGGCAACGGCUCACCAAACCUUUAACCGGUACGGGCCGUGAGAGCGGGAGCCCGGAGAUGGGUACUGAGACAAGGACCCAGGCCCUACGGGGCGCAGCAGUCGCGAAAACUCCGCAAUACGCGAAAGCGUGACGGGGCCAUCCCGAGUGCCGUCCGCUGAGGAUGGCUUUUCCCCAGUGUAUAAAGCUGGGGGAAUAAGGAGAGGGCAAGCCUGGUGUCAGCCGCCGCGGUAAUACCAGCUCUCCGAGUGGUGGGGAUGCUUAUUGGGCCUAAAGCAUUCGUAGCCGGUUGGGCAAGUCCCCCGCUAAAUCCAACGAUUCAAUCGUUGGACUGCGGGGGAUACUGUCCAACUUGGGGGCGGGAGAGGCCGACGGUAUUCUCGGGGUAGGGGUGAAAUCCUAUAAUCCCGGGAGGACCACCAGUGGCGAAGGCUGUCGGCUAGAACGCGCCCGACGGUGAGGGAUGAAAGCUGGGGGAGCGAACCGGAUUAGAUACCCGGGUAGUCCCAGCUGUAAACGAUGCAGGCUAGGUGUUGGAGCGGCUACGUGCCGCUCCAGUACCGCAGGGAAGCCGUUAAGCCUGCCGCCUGGGAAGUACGGCCGCAAGGCUGAAACUUAAAGGAAUUGGCGGGGGAGCAC